rnacentral:rRNA from 1 species
UACAGAGGGGGCAAGCGUUGUUCGGAAUUACUGGGCGUAAAGGGCGCGUAGGCGGCCAACUAAGUCGAACGUGAAAUCCCCGGGCUCAACCCGGGAACUGCGUCCGAUACUGGUUGGCUUGAAUCCGGGAGAGGGAUGCGGAAUUCCAGGUGUAGCGGUGAAAUGCGUAGAUAUCUGGAGGAACACCGGUGGCGAAGGCGGCAUCCUGGACCGGCAUUGACGCUGAGGCGCGAAAGCCAGGGGAGCAAACAGG